AUGGCAGCAUCGCGGGGUUCAAUAUCAAGGAUGCCGUCGAGGUGCACAGCAGAGACGGCGCGGGCCACGGUCGCGUUCGAGAUCGCCGGCUACAGCCUGCUCAAAUGCCUCCGUUCUCCGGCAUUCUCAGUCGGCGGCUACGAAUGGUGCAUCGACUACUUCCCCGACGGAAGCAAAAGCGAGGCAGGCGAGGGUCACGUCUCCGUCUUCCUCAGGCUCUUGAGCAAGAACGCCAAGGUGAGGGCGCUCUAUAACUUGAUGCUUGUGGAGCCGGUUGGGGGGAAGUCAAUUGUGGUGUGCCCCUUAAGAAAGCCACUAGUGUUCGACCCUAAAAGGAUAUCUUGA
rnacentral:rRNA from 1 species